GCUCCGUCUGCGCUGUCUGUCCUUCCUUCCCCACAGGGCUGAUGGCGGCCGUGACGUUGGACGAGUCUGGGGGUGGCCUCCAGGCACCCGGAGGAGGGAUCAGCCUCGUCUGCAAGGGCUCUGGAUUUGACUUCAGCAUUUUCCAGAUGGAGUGGGUGCGACAGGCACCCGGCAAGGGGCUGGAAUUCGUCGCCUGGAUUAGCGGUGCUGGUAGUACCACAAGAUACGGGGCGGCGGUGCAGGGCCGUGCCACCAUCUCCAGGGACAACGGGCAGAGCACAGUGAGGCUGCAGCUGAACAACCUCAGGGCUGAGGACACCGCCACCUACUGCUGCGCGAAAGCUGCUGGUGGUUGUAGUGCUGAUGGUGCUUAUGAAGCUGGUUACAUCGACUUGAAAGGGACACGUCUUCAUCUGAAUCUAGGAAGGUUCCAUCUGGGAUGCAGAGCUCUGCGCUGGAGGCACUGAAUUUUUGUCCCCAACAAGUCUGUCUCCGUAUCCAUCUC